UACGAAGGUGGCAAGCGUUGUUCGGAAUUACUGGGCGUAAAGGGCGCGUAGGCGGCCUUCUAAGUCAGACGUGAAAUCCCCCGGCUUAACCUGGGAACUGCGUCUGAUACUGGGAGGCUUGAGUAUGGGAGAGGGAUGUAGAAUUCCCGGUGUAGUGGUGAAAUGCGUAGAUAUCAGGAGGAACACCGAUGGCGAAGGCAGGUCUCUGGGCAUUAACUGACGCUGAGGAGCGAAAGCAUGGGGGAGCGAACAGG
rnacentral:rRNA from 1 species